rnacentral:lncRNA from 1 species
CACCUGCAACACAUGGACGUUCCCAGGCUAGGGGUUGAAUUGAAGCUGUAGCCACUGGCCUACACCACAGCCACAACGACAUCAGAUCCGAGCCACAUCUGCGACCUAUGCUGCAGCUUGGGGCAACGCCAGAUCCUUAACCCACUGAGAGAGGCCAGGGAUCGAACCUGUAUCCUCACAGACACUAUUUGGGUUCUUAACCCACUGAGCCACAAUGGGAACUCCCGGAUUUUUUUUAAAGCCCACAAUAUUGUUGAAUUAUAGUCAGGGAUAAAAAUGACCACUUUAGUAUUCACUCAUUCAUUCACUCAACAUACCUUUAUUGAGCUUGUGCUUUUAUGUGCCAGACACUGUGUUUGGUACACGGGAGACAGCAGUGAUCCAGAGUCAUUACUCUCAUGGAGCUUAGAUAGCAGUUGGGGAGCAGGUGUAGAGGACAGAAAGUGAUAAGUUCCAGGGUAGAACUAGAGCAGGAUGACCAUAAGUCUUCCAAGGGCCUUUAUCUCAACUUGAGCCCCCUCUUCCUCCCCUUCUAGAAUUUUUUUUGCCCUCCACUGAAAGGCAGGUGGAGGAGAGAGAGAAAAAGGAGGCAGAGUUUGUCAAGCAAUCAGAUUACUCCCAGAGUCCAAAUUCAGGUUGAGUUUGAAGCUCAAGCCCAAAGUCAUGCCCAGGUGAGGUUCAUUUCUCUUCAUUAGCACAGACGGUUGGGUUCAUCAUAAUGGAUUAGAAGCAAUUCUGAGAAAUGGCAAUUUGCUUGUCACUCUGAAAUCGAGGUCUGAUUCCUUCUUUCUCUCCUGCAAUCCAGUAAGACCUAUACUAAAGCACUGCAGGGGCUCCUGUAUGCUCAGCUGACAGCUGACAACUGGGGGUAACACCAGCACCUCUCAAAGAGAAAGGCUGUGGGUCCCCUUGCCCCUGACCUUCACAAUAUUCAGUUCAGUUCAACAAAAUGCCAUUAUCGACAUGUUCCAGACACUAUGGCUGGUACCAUUUUUAUCCCAUUUAAAACGAGGAGGGAAGUUCCUGUCGUGGCUCAGUGGAAGCUAAUCUGACUAGUAUCUAUGAGGACGCAAGUUCGAUCCCUGGCAUUGUUCAGUGGGUUAAGGAUCCAGCAUCGCUGUGAGCUGUGGUGUAGGCCACAGACAUGGCUCAAAUCGGGUGUUGCUGUGGCUGUGGCAUAGGCCAGCGACUAUAGCUCCAACUCAACCCCUAGCCUGAGAACCUCCAUAUGCCACAAGAGUGGCCCUAAAAAGACCAAAAUAAAUAAAUAAAUAAAUAAAUAAAAGGAAAUUCAGGCUCAGAGAGGUUAAGUAAUUUACCCAAGUCACCCAGAAUUCAGAUCUAUGUUUGCUUGGUAUGUGCCUCAAAGGUUUGCCACAAAGUUUGGAUGAGAUAAUCCAUGCACUGCGUUUAUGGAAACAUCUGGUAAAUGGUUCAAUUGUAUUUCAUUCUAUGAAAGCUGCCUUCUUGUCCUUGCUAUUGUCAUCAAUCAGUUAGACUCUCAAAGAUCUGGCAGCUACAGGCUCACAGCCACCUUCUCUUGGGACCAAACUAAUGAGAAGGAAUGAGGUGGGGAAGCAUGAAAUCACACAGAGGGGCUGGAGUAGCCUGCUCGCUGCAAGCGGGGCGUUGGGGAAGCCCCAUCUGGUACCCCGGGCCACCCGUGAGAAGUUCCUGACUCAGCCUGCAUUGUUGGUGCCUUCACACCUGCCUCACUUGCUCCUCCUUUUGACCGUGAACCACUGGAAGACUCACAUGUAAUUUGUGUUCCCAGUGCCUCACAUAGGGUUUAGCACAUUGUAGGGGCCAAAUACUGAAAGAAUGAAGAAUUGGUUGAAUGAGUUGCUUGCUCUGUCAGGAUUCCUCUUCUCCCAGGGUGGACCCAGUUCACCCUUCCUUCUGCAUUUUUCCCUGCAGAUGCUGUACUGGGCCCUUUAGGUGUGUUUUCACCCUGAAUGCUCACACCAGUCACUGAGGUCAGAGGUAUUCGCUCCUCUUAACACUUGUGGACAGUGAGGCUUAGCGGAUUUAAGUAGUGGUCACACAGCUUGGACGCAGCUAGGGUAGUUCUAGCAGUUCCCAUACUGCCCUCGUCUUCUUUCUCCCCAAGCCCACCCUAAGAUUUCAUCAAGCCUUCCACCCAAACCCAUGCCUUGUCUUUGCCACUGUUGGAGUUGCUGGUUUGGAGCGGUUUCUUUGAUAGCUGCUGUUUGGGAUCUUAAUUCCUAAUAAUAAGCCAAUUCAGAUCUGGCUAUGUAAACACGAUUUUGCAUGUCCCCAGGACUGCUCAUGUGCUGUCAACUAUCAUGUUAACUCUAUUUCUCACACUUUAAUGUGCAGACCAAUCACUGGGGAUAGUGUUGAAAAAUAGAUUCUGAUGUGCUGGUCUGGAGUGGCAUCCCAGAUUCUGCAUUUCCAAAUAAGCCGCCGGUGAUGCUGAAACUGCUAAUCUUCCUGCCACACUGAGUCAUGGCAAGUUAAGCUCUGACUCAGGAACAGGUUUGUUCUGUUCCUUGUUAUGAGUUGAAUUGUGUCCUCUAAAAAAAAAAAAAAAAAAAAAUGUUGAAGUCCUAACCUCCAGGUCCUCAGAAUGUGACCUUAUUUGGAAACAG